GACGAACGCUGGCGGCGUGCUUAACACAUGCAAGUCGAACGGAAAGGCCCUGCUUUUGUGGGGUGCUCGAGUGGCGAACGGGUGAGUAACACGUGAGUAACCUGCCCUUGACUUUGGGAUAACUUCAGGAAACUGGGGCUAAUACCGGAUAGGAGCUCCUGCUGCAUGGUGGGGGUUGGAAAGUUUCGGCGGUUGGGGAUGGACUCGCGGCUUAUCAGCUUGUGGGUGGGGUAGUGGCUUACCAAGGCUUUGGCGGGUAGCCGGCCUGAGAGGGUGACCGGCCACAUUGGGGCUGAGAUACGGCCCAGACUCCUACGGGAGGCAGCAGUGGGGAAUAUUGCACAAUGGGCGGAAGCCUGAUGCAGCAACGCCGCGUGCGGGAUGACGGCCUUCGGGUUGUAAACCGCUUUCGCCUGUGACGAAGCGUGAGUGACGGUAAUGGGUAAAGAAGCACCGGCUAACUACGUG
rnacentral:rRNA from 1 species